UGUGAAGCAGAGAGGAGUUUCCGUUAUCUACAAACUUUCCUUCGUUUUCUCUCUCUAAAUUCUUGGUGUGGUAUUUCCGAUCCGAAUUAGGGUUUUGUCAGAAUCUCCGUCCGGCGGGAUCGAAAUCGGGAGAUAUGUUUACUGACUCGAUCACCAACACUUCGAUUCCCACGGCGGCCUCCAACACCAAGUACUUGGCCAAGAAAAAGAGGGCGAACAGGUCGGCCAAAUUGAAGCAGUGCAAGCUUGAUGCCCGCCGCGAGCAGUGGCUUUCCCAAGUCAAGAACAAGGAAAGUAAGGAGGAAGCAGAUGUGCAUGGAGGCCUCUGUGCAUCAUCAGGACAUGCAUACAGUGAGCGUGAACAAUUAGUGGAGAAUUUGGAGACAAAGCCAAGAGUUGAAAGGAAUGGAGGAUUGGCUCACCAUUACAGCGAUUUAGAUUCUCCUUCAAACAGUCCCAGCAGCCAUGCAAGUAGUAUCUUGGGCGGUAAUGUGUCUGGGACAAACUUUUCUGGCAGUAGUGGUGGGAGCGGCAGUGGCAGCAGUAGCAGUGGUGGGAGUUGUUCUGGAAGCAUAACUGGAGAGGAUGAAGAAGGUUGUGAUGACUGCUUGGAUGAUUGGGAGGCAGUUGCAGAUGCUUUAGCAGCCACCGAUGACAAGCGGGAGCAGCAUACCCAUAGUUUAGAGCCGCUCACAGAGCAUGAAAGUAGCAUACUGUUAGAUUCUCCCCCGGAAUUAACUCACCAAGCAACUUUAGGAAAUGAGAUGUCAAACCCAAAGCCAGAGCAUGCCGAAAUGGUCCAAAAGGCUCGACCAAAUUGCCGUGCAUGGACAGCUGGUGAUGCUUUUCGUCCACAGUGUCUGCCAAAUCUUUCAAAACAGCUCAGUUUCCCUAUGAAUUCAGGCAGGCAGCGUGGCUAUGGAGGUGGUGCAUGGGGCUGUAAAAAUUCUAUAGCUACGCCAUUGCCAUGCCCCAUAUGCUGUGAAGAUUUGGAUUUCACAGACUCAAAUUUUCUUCCUUGUUCAUGUGGGUUCAGGCUGUGCCUUUUCUGCCACAAGAGAAUUCUUGAGGAGGAUGGUCGCUGUCCAGGCUGCAGAAAGAAAUAUGACCAUGAACCUGUCAAGGGGGAAACAACAAUGGAUGGAGGCAACCUUACAUUUCAGUUGGCUCGAUCUUUUAGCAUGAUUACAAGAUUUUCAUAGUCAUAGAUGUGGGAUAGGGAUGCUGUUUUCAAGCACCUGGAGAUUAGGUUGGUUCUCUUUUGAGUUUGGUCAACAUAUGUUUGGUGCAUGCGUGCAGAUGUAGAAGAUCUUUUGCUGUCUUUGAGGAAGGCUACUGUAUUUGUCAAAGGCAUGUCUAGGCACAAUGUGGACAGAGUUGCAAUACUUUGUGCUUCUGCUAAAGUGAGGCCAGGCACCCAUCUUAGGCCCUCGCUUAAGCGCAUGAGGGGCAUGCCUUAUGUGUAGGCACAAGUCACACACCUCAAGCCAAUUGCAACAAAGAAACCCUCACCAAUUGUCAAUCAAAGGUUGAUAAAAACACUUAAAUAAACUUUGUCAAUUUUCAAGAGCUUCAGCCCUUGGAUAACUUCUUUUAUUUGUCAGAAGGUGUCCGCUCUGAUUUUCUAUCUUUGUUUCUUCUUUUUCUUGAGAUGAACUCGUGUUCUAAUAAUCUAUGAGAGGCAAGCCAGGAGAGGCUGAUUGGAGGUCCAUCAGGAGUCAUCAUGUGAGAGACUCCAGUGAGUGAAGUUCAUGUGCUGAAGAAGCUCUUGCCCAUAGCCAUUCAUCUAGCGACUUAGUCUUCACUGACAGUGUCACUGAAAGCUGGCACGCAUUCUACUGGCUAGUUUUGGUCUGGAUGGUCAUGGACUUGUAUUUGUUGUUUCUCUCUUGCCAGUUACUACUUGUUUCAUAGUCCCGUGAGUUUAGUUUAGUGGACUUGUUUAUGUUAAAUUCAUUCAUUUGAAUGUUUUACACUUUUACUAUAUAGAAGGUUUUCUACUUUCUUAUUUAAA